UACGGGGGGGGGCAAGCGUUGUUCGGAAUUACUGGGCGUAAAGGGCGCGUAGGCGGCCUCUAAGUCAAACGUGAAAUCCCUCGGCUCAACCCGGGAACUGCGUCCGAUACUGGAAGGCUUGAAUCCGGGAGAGGGAUGCGGAAUUCCAGGUGUAGCGGUGAAAUGCGUAGAUAUCUGGAGGAACACCGGUGGCGAAGGCGGCAUCCUGGACCGGCAUUGACGCUGAGGCGCGAAAGCCAGGGGAGCAAACGGG
rnacentral:rRNA from 1 species